AUGGAGUUUACUAGCAACGAGAGGGGAGUGCAUCUUCAUACCUUUGAAGAUCGCGAUGCGGAAGCGUUGCAAGAACGCGGUCGGUGGAGUCGUACACGAAGCGAUUCAGAUCGCGGCCGAAUCCGAUCUAAGCACCGAACAACGGUGCCUCCGCGUUCAACACACAUGCAGCCCGGUGACGUCUCCCGCGCCUUGAUCCAGCAAGGAGAGAGGGAGAGGUUGGGGAAGACUCAGUCCAGCAGCAGCACGACGGCGUGGUGGUGGUGGAGGAGCGUAAUAUUAGUCGUUUCUGCCUCCUUUCUUUCUUCCUUUCUAGGAAAGAUCACAAGUGAACAUAUUUGGCUAUAUAUUGGUUGUGCUACUACUAGCUAG
rnacentral:rRNA from 1 species